UGAGGAAGUUAACUUACUGAACUCUGAACAUCUCCAACAGGUGCAAGGCAAGGGGGCUGGUGCCAAAAACGUGCUCAACAUCAGACCCUAAAAUGAACGGUAAGUCGAUGCAAAUAAAGUGAUUUACCACAACCACCACAGAGCCUUCAGCUUGAUUUGUAUGUUUGCCUCGACAGAGCUUGUCACCUUGUUCCUGCUGUUGUUGGCUCCUGGACUCGACUGGUGCUUUCCAGUCACAGCAGGUGGAAGCUCGGUGUUGCAGGUGUUUUACUGCAAGUAUUCAGGAUGUGCUUUUAAUGUGACUCAAGUAUUUUGCAACGACGAGUUGCUCUUCAGUCACACUCAGAUUGCAGAUUGCACAGGCCUCCCUCCACCUAAUACUGUGUGCCAGCACGAAGGUCGGGCAUUUGUUUCCAUCGAUACACCCGGUAGCUGCGAUUUUGAAGGAGCCAGUUACAUCAAGACCACAAAAUGUACAAACUCCACCAAAGCUUGUACCUUCACCAAUGCUACCACAUCAUCAUCAAAUACAACAAUGAAUGUACAGGAGCCCCAGAAAAGUCCCAUAUCACCCGCUGUCUAUGUGGUUCUUGG
ensembl:lncRNA